AGGAUAAUAGUUAAAUAUAACAGUUAAUUUGCAAUUAAAAAUUAUUGUCUAUCAAUUUAUCUUA
rnacentral:tRNA from 1 species